rnacentral:rRNA from 1 species
CCUACGGGGGGCGGCAGUGGGGAAUCUUAGACAAUGGGCGCAAGCCUGAUCUAGCCAUGCCGCGUGAGUGAUGAAGGCCUUAGGGUCGUAAAGCUCUUUCGCCAGAGAUGAUAAUGACAGUAUCUGGUAAAGAAACCCCGGCUAACUACGUGCCAGCAGCCCCGGUC